UUCAGAUGCGCUUCUGCGGCCGUCUGGAACGCCACUGGAUCUGUGCACUUUUAAAUCUGGAUUGAAAAUAAUUUCUUUAAAAUUGAUAUUUGUGUUAAGUUUGUUGUCCUUCCCCCGCACCUCCGAUCAGCACUGUUGGCUACGUACGGUGUGAAAGAAGUGCAACAUACAUACGUACGUACGAGGAACUGUAACCGAGUGCGCCAUAAGUAAAUCCCAAAGCGCGGCCGCGUCACGAAAGAACUGAGGAAUGCAGACAGCUCUGGUUCGGUCGUGCCAGAAGAAUGACGCCAAGAAUGGGAAUUCAAAGAGAGAGCAUCGGCAAUGCUUGGUGGAAUGCAGCGGGGUUGGAGGAAGACCGGGACAAAGAUGGACUUCUGAUGGAGCAGAGGUGACACUGUAUAUGUCUUGCUAACGCAGUGCUGGAUUACAAGCAGCGGAGGGCUGAUGAUGCUGGAGCCUGGUCUCGCUGGCGCAGACCAGAACUAUUGCCGAGUGAGCACUUUCUGCAGAAGAGCCGCACACACUUUCCACAGCUAAACAUAAACACGUGAAUUGACUUACAGGCUCCGACGCACGACGAAAAUGUGCAACUUGACCAUUUUGUUUCGAUUUAAAGCUUUCGUGACUGCAGGGAUUCAUCUUCUUGGUUCUUUCGGUAAAGUCACGUAGAAGGGAAGUAAUAAAAUAAUAAAAAUAAAACAUAAUAAAAUAAUUCUCACGACGUUUCGGCCACAACGCAUUUCCCAUAUCCCCUCCCUUGGAUGCUGCUAAUCCUGCAUAAUGCACGGACAUAAGCAGUACUAAUCACAUACCUGCAUUUCCCAUAAAUAUGCUAAAUUCCUCUUGAUAUGCAAAUUAUUUUGUCAAGACGCCCUUUUCCCCCCUCCCAACCCAGCUUAUAUAUAUGCUCCAAGCACGUGUGCUGUUUCAUUCAGACGCUGUCGCCUCGACAGACCUGGUUUCACCUGAGGACGGCUGCUUGGGUUGUAGCCGAAACGUCGUGAGAAUUAUUUUAUUAUGUUUUAUUUUUAUUAUUUUAUUACUUCCCUUCUACGUGACUUUACCGAAAGAACCAAGAAGUUGACCAUUUUGGUUUUGACCUUGGAAUGUGUUUUUUUAUAGUUAAUUCCAAAUGCGGUAGUUACAGUGGUUGUAAGGUGCAAAGUAAUUCCGACCUUAGUUGGUUGAACUAGUCCUGCCCCCCCCACGCCCCCCAACCUUUGCUUCCCCAACUUACACUGGUCAACGUGGUGAAGUGUGGUAAAAAAAAACACACACACACAGGAUGGACACGGCACGAGCACUUUCAUCCAGCGGGGAGUUUACAUAGGGUCGUCAAUCUCUCUCGUAUCAAUCUCUCUCGACAACAAACUUCCAUAUAGCCUACAUCGACCGUUGGGGUAAGUGCGGUCAAAUUAUCCCAUGAGCGACAUGGCGUGGGGAGGCUUUCGUCAGUUGGUAGAUUGGGAAUUUUUGGAAUGAAAAUAUGUUUUUUAUAUAUAUAACAGGUGUGGCCACCGAAUACUCCUCUGGAAGAUGAAAGCAGCGACUGUAGCUAUGAACGCAUCGACAAAUAGUGGCUGCUUCGGUCAUUUGCUGCCUGCUUCGGUCAUUUUGCGGGCAGCAUCUUAAACAUUUAUAACAUUACUCCUGCAGCCCUCCACUGAUUCACCAAUGUCAGCACGUAACGUCACAAAUCACCUUGCCAUACGAGAGAAGAGGCGAAAAAAAUCAAGAGUCCCUCCACCCAACUAACUGCAUGCAAUCUUAAUUUUGGAGCUUUCGUGACUGCAGGAAUUAUUCUUUGGUUUUU